UUGGCCAGAUAUGAAAUUCUUGGUUGGAAAAUUUCUUAUUUAAGAAUGCUGAGGCCAGGCGAGGUGGCUCAUGCCUAAUCCCAGCACUUUGGGAGGCUGAGGCAGGCAGACCACCUGAGGUCAGGAAUUUGAGACCAGCCUGGCUAACAUGGCAAAACCCUGUCUCUACUAAAAAUACAAAAAUUAGCUGGUCAGGGUGGCAGGCACCUGUAAUCCCUGCUACUUGGGAGGCUGAGACAGGAGAAUCGCUUGAGCCCAGGAGGUAGAGGUCGCAAGAAGCAGAGAUCAUGCCACUGCACUCCAGCCUGGGCAACAGAGCAAGACUCCAACUCAAAAAAAAACAAAGAAUGCUAAAUAUAGGACCCCUAUCUCUUCUGGCUUUUAGGGUUUCUGCUGAAAGGUCUGCCAUUAGCCUGAUGGAGUUCCCUUUGUAGGUAACCUUCCCUUUCUCUCUAGGUGCCUUUGCCAUCUUUUCUUUCAUGUCAGCUUUGGAGAGUCCGAUGAUUACGUGUCAUGGGGACGGUCUUGAGUAAUCUCUCUCAGGGGUUCUCUGUAUUUCCUGGAUUUGAAUGUUGGCUUCUAACAAGGUUGAAGAAAUUUUCAUGAACGUUAUCCUAAAAUAUAUUUUCCAAGUUGCUUGCUUUCUCCCUCUUUCAUGGGUGCCAUGAGUCAUAGAUUUGAUCUUAUUACAUAAUCCCAUAUUUCUCUGAGGUUUUGUUCAUUCUUUUUUAUUCUUUUUUUUUAAUUCUUGUCUGAAUGGGUUAUUUCAGAGAGCUACUCUUCGAGCUCUGAGAUUCUUUACUUGGUCUACUCUGCUGUUAAUACUUGCAGUUUCAAUGUGUCAUUCUUGUAGUGUGUUCUUCAGCUGUAUCAGAUCAGUUGGAUUCUUUUUUAUAGAGGCUAUUUCAUCUGUCAGUUCCUGUAUUGUUUUAUUGUGAUGGUUAGCUUCCUUGGAUUGGGUUUUGACAUUCUCCUGAAUCUUGGUGAUCUUCAUUCCUGUACAUAUUCUGAAUUCUAUUUUUGUCAUUUCAGUCAUUCCAGCCCAGUUAAGAACCCUUGCUGGGGAAUUAGUAUGAUCAUUUGGAGGAAAGAAGACACUCUGGCUUUUUGAUUUGCCAGAGUUUUUGUGCUAAUUCUUUCUCAUUUGUGUGGGCUGAUGUUCCUUCAACCUUUAAGGUUGUUGUCCUUUGGAAGUUUUUUGGUUUUUGCUUUUUUCUUCUUUGAUGCCCUUAGGGGUUUGAUUAUGGUAUAAGGUGGGUUUGGUUUACUGCCUUCAAUUCUAGUCCACUUCUAGGUCUUGGAGGAGCCCCUUCCAAUUACUGUCUCUCUACUUGCAUUUCUUUUUUUGGGUGGUCUGGUCCACAGAACUCCCUCAGGCAAGGGCCACAGUUGGCCCGUAACCUUGCCAGGUCAGCUCUAAUCUGCUGUCUGUGUGCUUCCUGGGGAAACACGAGCUUGUACCUGCCUGCAGAGUUCAGACAGAAGCAUGACCACUGGAUUGGAAACUAUUGGGUGUGGCCUAUCUGGCUACAGGAGAGGGGGUGGGUGGGUACAGUUGUCUGCCCUGCUGUCUGGGUGUUUCCAUGGCAACAGGAGGCUGUAUUCCUUGACAAAUUCCGGUAGACAUAGGACUACUUGGGCCUUAAGCUCUAGCAGCUGUGGCUUGCCUGGCUACCAGUGGCUGGGGUUGGUGAGAAUGUCUGCUCUGGUGUCUGUGUGCUUCCUGGAACAACAGAAGGCUGCACUUGUUGGCUGAGUUCACACAGAAGCAGGACUGCUGGAGCAGAAGCUCUAUCAGGUGUUGUCUACCUGGCUGUCAGUAGCGAGGGUGGGUGGAGUCAUGUGCCUUGCCAUCCGGGUGCUUCCCGGGACAACAGGAGGCUGCACCCACCAGCUGAAUCCACACAAAAACAGAGCUGCUGGGCCAGAAGCUCUAGCAGUUGUUAGCCACCUGGCUACCAGAGGUGGGGGUGGGUAGGGUCACUCACUCUGCUGUUCAGGUGUUUCCCAGGACAACAGAAACCUGCACCCUCUAGCUGAGUUCACACAGAGGCAGGGCACUGGGCUGGAAGUUCUAGCAGGUGUCGCCCACCUGGCUACCAGUGGUGGGGGUGGUGGUAGUAGCUGGCUGAGUUCAGGCUGAAGUGAGACUGCUGGGCUAGAAGCUGGUGUUGAGGCCUGCCCAGCAUGAGUGGGUGGAGCAACCUUACUGCUCCCAGGCAUGGUAACUGCAGCCUCUACUGGGGCUAUGGUGCUGGCUUGUCUGCUCUGGGGCCCAAGGCUUAUAGAGGUCCCUUUGGACUCGAGAGGUGACCCCAUAAAACGUCUAAGUGGCUCUCUGCCUCAGUCUAGAAGCACGAUGGGUGGGUGUGGGGCCCAAAGGAUUCUCCUAUUCCUCGUCUUGCAUGGAUCCCUGUGGAGAGCAUGAGUCCCCCUGAGGGCUCUCACUCACUCACCCUGUCUUGUGUUGGAGAGAUUCUCCUGGCUCCAUGCUGAGCCCAUACAGUUGGUGCCUGGCUUCACUCCUCUAUGCUCUCUGUGUUCCUCUGCUGCCCUGAUGGAUCCCGGCAUGGUUUCUCAGAUGAUCAGCCUGUAGGUCAGUGUUCACUAGUCCUUUUGCUUCUUCUCCUUGACAGCAGCACACAUGAGCUGCCUCUAGUCCACCAUCUUGGCCCCACCCUCAAUUCAUGUCAAUCAUCCCAUCUUGUCCUGAGUCUUAGCUUAUGAUUUGACAUUCCACAUAGAUUUGCCUAUAGAUUUUGGGGUUCAGUCCCCAUGCCAAUAAUUUCUCCUUAUAAAUUAGCACACUGACAUCUGGAUUUGAGAACUCAAUUCUGUGAGCUGUAGACCGCACUACACGUGCUGAUGAGCAGGGAGUCUGAUCUGGACUAUAGCGAACCUCUGAAAUUCUGCAGGCCUGGUGAAGCCUCUUGGCAGCUCACCACCUGGCUGGCCAGCCUUUCCUAAACACACCUGCUGCACUGCUGGGUGCCUAGUGGGAGCCUUUUUCAUAAACUUCCUCAAGGCAAUAACUGUCUGGAGCCUCCUCUGUAGGGCAUUUCAGCUGCUUCCUAUAAUUCUCAUUACAAACUUCCAGUUGGGUCCAGCUACUCAGAGAGACCCACACAAGAGACACGUUGGUGAUAGCUAUACAGCACCUGUGGAGGUGCCCAGGGAGCAGGUGAUCUUUUGAAACAAGGGUCUCAAAACUAGAGAACUUUGUGUCUUGGUGGUUCACAAAGCCACUAGAAGAGGCACACAGGCAUGAAUGGAUUUAAGGGGUUCAUUUUUCCCAGGUUCUCAACUUCCAUAUGUACUUUCCUAAAAAGGAUCUGCUGUAGUUGAAGACUCAUGUCAAGGUUACUUUCUGGCCUCCCCUCCUCAGCCUCCCUUCACCCAGCAUACAAAAGAGCUCACACUCACACAGCCCUUUGAGCCUUUGAGCCUGGCUUGGAGCAUAAGAGCUGUAAGGUACCAAAGGAAGGGAAUAUUCUAAAUAUUCUUAAAUUGAAUUAUCUGUUUCAUGCUCUAUUGUUCAAAAAUGCAUCACAUAUGAAGGAGAGUCCCAUAAGAGUAAAGCAAAAAAAGAAUCAGUGAGAAACAGGAACACUCUUAUAUCAUAAUUCAUCCAGGAAAGGAAGUCUGCAUGCCUUGUCCGUCUAUAUUUGUUAAGAUUCAGAAGCGAAAUGAUUGUCACAAGGCACAUAUUAGCAUGAUUACUUUAAUUUAAAAAUGAGAAAUCUUUUCUGAUAGAAAGUAAUUUGAUUUGGCUGAGUAGUUUAACAGUGAGGACUGCCUUUGCCAAUAAGAAUGUCACAGAUGUUUUCCAUAAAUGAGUUAAGUCUGCAGCUCCAACAUGUUACUGAAAAUAUUUUGUUUGUUUGUUUUGAGACAGAGUCUCUGUUGCCCAGGCUGGACUGCAAUGGCAUGAUCUCGGCUCACUGCAACCUCCACCUCCUGGGUUCAAGCGAUUCUCCUGCCUCAGCCUACAGGCGCCUGCCACCGCACCCGACUAAUUUUUGUUUUUUUGUUUUUUUUUUUUGAGACGGAAUCUUGGAGUCUCACUCUGUUGCCCAGGCUGGUCCCAGGCUGGAGUGCAAUAGCAUGCUCUGGCCUCACCACAACCUCUGCCUCCCGGGUUCAAGCAGUUCUCCUACCUCAACCUCCCGGGUAGCUGAGAUUACAGGUGUGUGCCACCACGCCUGGCUAAUUUUUGUAUUUUUAAGUAGAAAUGGGGUUUCACCAUGUUGGUCAGGCUGGUCUCAAACCCCUGACCUCGUGAUCCACCUGCCUCAGCCUCCCAAAAUGCUGGGAUUACAGGCAUGAGCCACCAUGCCCAACUCCUAAUUUUUGUACUUCUAGUAGAGACAAUGUUUCGCCAUGUUGGCCAGGCUGGUCUUAAACUCCUGGGAUUAUAUGUGUGAGCCACCAUGACUGGCCUGAAAAUACAUUUCAAGCAUGUGAUAAGAUAAAAGGAUUCGAUCCCAAAAAUUUAGCAAAAAUGUAUUGAAAUUAAGAUUUUUACUUCCUGAAUCUUUCCUGAGUAUAUCAAUUUAAACAAAGUGCCUCUAAAUGAAAAAAUAGCAGAUAUAAUUAAUAAACAUUUGAUAUGUCUUCAGAAAGCUUUGUUGAUAUAAUUCCAGAAACUGAGAACUUGGAUGCCACUUGUGACUGAGUAACAGACUGGAUGAUUUCCAAGUAUUUACUUUCGAUAAAACUGAAGCAAGAUCUAAUUAAGUUGUCAGCUAAUAGGGCAUUGAAAAUAACUUUUGAUGAUAAAUCAUUAUAUGGUUUUUACUACAUAAUUCAGAGGUAUUCAAAGAAUCAGCUAGCAUUCCUACAGUGAAAUUUCUUUCCCAUCUAAUUUAUGCAAACUAGAUUUCUCAGAUCUUGUCUAUAAAAAUAAAAAAUAGGAAGAGAACUAAUUUCAAACUCAGUCCCAUUCUAGCAAUAAGUAAUAUUCAUCCACAUAUAUAAUAACUAUUGGGAGAAAUUCAACCCUACCAACUGUCAUUAAGAAUGUCUUUCCAAAAAAAAUUUACAUUUUAUUUUUCAUAAUUAUUAUUUAAAGUAAUACAUAUUGUUUUGAUCAAUUGUGGACUAUUAAUAUUGUAAUAAUAAAUCCAAACAAAAUUUAACACAUAUAGUAGCCCUGUGCCCACAGAAAAUAAUUUUUUUAGUUAAUGUCAAUUUAUAUAUGUAUUUUGGUUGCAGAUAAGAAUGAUCAGUAAAGCAUAAAAUAUAGCAGAAUAUGAUUCAAUGAAAAAAGUGGAAUAAAAACAUGAGUAGUAGAAGAAAAAUAAGGUUGUAAACUUUUAACUGUUAAAGAAGAGUUUAGGUCUUGUUUAGUGGAUGAUUAUAUUAAUAUCAAAUUGCUCUAAUAUCAGGCUGGAGUGCAGUGUUGUGAUCUCGGCUCACGGAAACCUUUGCCUCCCAGGUUCAAGUGAUUCUCCUGCCUCACCUUCGAGAGUAGCUGGGACAACAGGCAUGAGCCACCAUGCCAAGCUAUUUUUUGUGUGUGUAUUUUUACUAGAGAUGGGCUUCAUCAUGUUGGUUGGGAUGGUCUCCAACUCCUGACCUCAAGUAAUCUGCGUACCUCUGCCUCCCGAAGUGCUGGCAUUACAUGUGUGAGCCACCACACCCAGUCCAAUUGAUAUAUUUAAAAGCCUGAUGUAGGCUGGGCAAAGUGGCUCAUGCCUAUAAACCCGGUUCUUUGAGAGGCCAAGGCAGGAAGAUCCCUUGAGGCCAAGAGUUCAAGACCAGCUGAGGCAACAUAGUAAGACUGUCUCUACAAAAAAUAGAAAGUUUAGCCAGGCAUGGUGUCAUGUGCCUAUAGUCCUAGCUUCUAGGAUGGCUGAGGUGGGAGGAUUUCUUGAACUCAGGAGUUUGAGGUUACAGUGAGUUAUGAUCACACCAUUGUACUCCAGCCUGGGCAACAGAAUGAGACUCUGUCUCUUGAGGGGGCGGCGGAAAGCCUGUCGUAAGAGUUUAAAAUGUUCGUAUUUAAAGAAAUAAGAAAUCCUUAUCUUUUGAACUAUUUAUAUUUCAGAUGAAUAAUUUUAGAGAUCAACUUAAAAAUGUGAGAGGAGGCUAGGCACAGUGGCUCACACCUGUAAUUCCAGCACUUCGGUAAGUGAGGCAGGAAGAUCACUUAAGACCAGGAGUUGAAGACCAACCUGAGCAACAUGACAAGACCUUGUCUCUACCAAAACUUUUAAAAGUAGCCAGGUGUGGUGGCAUGUGCCUGCAGUCUGAGGCACAUGAGACUAUGCAGGGGGCCAAGGCCCACUUAUUCAGGAGCCUGAGGCAGGAGGAUCACUUUAAUCCAAGAGGUCAAGGCUGCAGUAAGCUAUGAUGAUGCCACUGCACUCCAGCCUUGGUAACAGAGCAAGACCCUGUCUUUAAAAAAAAAAGUGUGUGGCGAUUCCUCAAGGAUCUAGAAUCAGAAAUACCAUUUGGCCCAGCAAUCCCAUUACUGGGUAUAUACCCAAAGGUUUAUCAAUCAUUCUACUAUAAAGACACAUGCAGCCAGGCACGAUGGCUCAUACUGUAAUCCCAGCACAUUGGGAGGCUGAGGCAGGCAGAUCAUGAGGUCAGGAGUUCAAGCCUGACCAAUAUAGUAAAACCUCUAUAUUGACCAGCCUGGCCAGUGUAGUGAAACCUCUACUAAAAAUACAAAAAAACUUAGCCAGGUGUGGUGGCGGGCACCUGUAGUCCCAGCUACUUGGGAAGCUGAAGCAGGAGAAUCACUUGAACCCUGGAGGCAGAGGUUGCAGCGAGCCGAGAUUGCACCAUGCACUCCAGCCUGGGUGACACAGCAAGACUCUGUCUCAAAAAAAAAAAAAAAAAAGAGACACAUGCAUACCUAUGUUUAUUGCAGCACUAUUUACAAUAGGAAAGACUUGGAACCAACCAAAAUGCCCAUCAAUGAUAGACUGGAUAAAGAAAAUGUGAUACAUAUGCACCAUGGAAUAUUAUGUAGCCAUAAAAAAGAAUGAGUUCAUGUCCUUUUCGGGGAUACGGAUGAAGCUGGAAACUGUCAUCCUCAGCAAACUAACAGAGGAACAGAAAACUAAACACCAAAUGUUCUUGCUUAUAAGUGGGAGUUGAACAAUGAGAACACAUGGACACAGGGAGGAGAACAUCACACAUCAGGGCCUUUUGGGGGAUGGGGGCAAGGAGAGGGAGAGCAUUAGGACAAAUACUUAAUGCAUGAGGGACUUAAAACCUAGAUGACGGCUGAUAGGUGUAGCAAACCACCAUGGCACAUGUAUACCUAAGUAACAAACCUGCAUGUUCAACACAUGUAUCCCAGAACUCAAAGUAAAAUUAAAAGAAAUGAGAAGUGAGAGGGGACACAUAGUUUUGGAACAUACUUUUUGCCUAUUUCAGAAUUUAAAAAUGUGCAGACUACCACCUGGAGUAAGGAGAAAUGCCUUGGGCCCUGAGCCAUGGUGGUGGGUGGCCAGGAAGAUGGCAGAGGCAGGCAGCCAAGCAGACAGCCCCAGAAGACACCAGGGGUGAACAGGGGGCCUGCUGGGCAGAUUCCAAGCCCUUCCUUCUCCCACAGCCUUCCUAAAUCUUUACUCCCAGGAUUUGCCCAUCAGCCUCAGGGUGGGGUGUCUACAGAGGGAGGGGAGGAGGAACCCAGGAAAAGUCCUGCAGGCACAGAAGCUGGCACUGUACCCAGAGCUGAACUGCUCCAGCUCCUUCAGUGGGAAAAGUAUCAACCUUUAUGCUGCUCCAGACCAUGAGUCAUCCCCAAGUUUCGGCUUAGAAUUAGAGAAGCUGCUGCCUCAAGGUGACUCAGCAGAACUUCACCGAAUCCUUUGGAGGAGCUGGGAACCCACUAGACAAGAGAUUAUCCCCCCAAACCCAUUUAACUAUCAGGAUGAGCAGGAGCAACUGCACCCUAGGACCAGCUAGGUUUCUGGACACAGACCUCCACCCAUGCUUAACACAGAGAUAUUGUUUGUUCUGCUAAAACAUGAUCCUUUGGGGAGACUCAAAGCUGGGGCACUGUGGAUACAGACACUGCAAAUUACCACCCAACCCAAAAAUUUGGAUCUUGACAGAAAGGGGAUUAGAGCAGAGGGGAUGCUUUGUCUCAAGAAAAGCAAACUUUUUUAUGGGGUUUCCAACAGACCUAUCGCUGCCCCUUUCAGGGGAUCAGGCACUCAGAGAUGGAGAUGACGUUUGCAGCACACAGGGAAACCUCCUAAGCUCCACACUACAUAUAGAAAUCCCUCCUUUCCCCAUCUGCUGUGAGGGGCAGCCACUUCCAAGGUGCCCUUCCUUCUCUCACUUGUCCUUUUCAGCAUUCGGGUGGGAGGGGGUGAUGAGGCAGCCUCUCCUGCAGACUCUAACCCAGGACUCCUGGGUUCUGGCAGCUGCUUUUCUGUGGAGGAGCUCUGAUCCUAGAUGAGACCUUUACCUCUCUGUUUUCCCACCUGAAAAUGGAGCUCAUUACCUGCCUGACUCUUUGGAGAUGUUGUGAGGCUCAAGUAGGCACAGCUGCUUCCAAGCACCUUUUCCCCAGCCUGAGGCACCUUCCCCUCUCAAACACCCACAGCCUUCAGGGGUCCCUUGGGCGCCCAUCCCUUCACUUCUUCACCCUCCCUUAAAAACUGCACUGCGCCUUCUCUGCCCACCACAUGGCUGGCACAGAGCUGGAUACAAGAUGGCCACCCCUUCACCCCAAACGUGAGUUAUCUGCCCCUAAGGGAAAGCGGCACUCAGCCACCCUCCUGCCCUGGGACAGAAGCAGCAUCCAGAGAUACACAAGUCAAGGAAGACAGCCUGUCACAACCCGUGCAGGGAGGGACCAGCCACCACAGCCUCGGCCUGAGGGGUGCCAGGAGGAACUCGGGCCACCAGAGCCUCAGGUUGAGGGGCACAGGGAGGAAUGCAGCCACCACAGCCUUAGGUUGAGGGGUGCAGGGCAGGUCGUGUCUCCCCAGGAUCAAACUUGUGUAACAUAAUGAGAUCACUUUGAUAAUUAAAUUUCUAAAAUGAACAAACAGGGCACAUCCACAUCCCAGGCAAUGGGCCUGCUGAUCCCUCUGCCAGGAACAUAAAUAGUCCCUCCCUGAGCUGGGUCUGCAGCAGCAGCAGCAGCCACACCGAGGCAGGAGGCGCAGGCACCCCAGUGCUGACGGAAGGAGGGAGACCCCAGCAGGAUGGCUCCAGAUAAAAUGUUGGCCGUGCAUUUUGACAAGCCAGGAGGACCGGAAAACCUCUACGUGAAGGAGGUAGCCAAGCCAAGCCCAGGGGAAGGUGAAGUCCUCCUAAAGGUGGCAGCCAGUGCCCUGAACCGGGCAGACUUAAUGCAGAGACAAGGCCAGUAUUCCCUGCCCCCAGGAGCCAGCAACAUUUUGGGACUCAAGGCAACUGGACAGAUGUGGCAGAGCUGGGGCCUGGCUGCCAGGGACACUGGAAAAUCGGAGAUGCAGCCAUGGCUCUUCUGCCUGGUGGGGGCCACGCUCAGUACAUAACUGUCCCCGAGGGGCUCCUCAUGCCUAUCCCAGAGGGACUGACCCUGCCCAGGCUGCAAUCAUCCCAGAGGCCUGGCUCACUGCCUUCCAGCUGCUGCACUGUGUGGGCCUGUGUGUUUAG